CCUGGCUUCCGGCCCAAGAGCCCUCCCAGAAAGAUACCUGUAAUACCGCCCGUAAUGAUGGGCUUACACAUUAAAGGCCAAUUGGCAAAAAAGAGGGACUUAGAUCGGGGGAACACCAGAAGUUAGCCGAGUACCAGUCGUUUUAACGAGUGUAGUUUAUAUUCAGAGAAAUUCUGGCAAAUAUAGCCCUUUCUAACAUGACAAACAGCGAAGAACAGGAAGGCCAGAAUGCAUAAAGGGGGGUGGGGUGUGUGCGCGCUAACAUUUCUGACCAAACCUCGAUAUUUGCGCCCUCUGCUCUGAUGUCCCUCAUUGACCACGAGGGUGCUCCUGCUUUAGCCAGUGGCUCUGCGAGCUGUAUUUUAUAAACAGGGGAUCCCAGGCACCCAAAUAACCAGGUCGACGCCCCCAUCCGGACCAGAGGGGCAGUUUCCGGUUGUGUCCUGACCGCUGGCCCUCGUCGCGCCUGGAGGUGACCGCUGUACACCGUCAAGACCCACGGUGCGUCCCCCAAGACCCCGAAACGAAAGCAAGGCGAGCAGCCCUCCCAGGCCCUGCUCCCCCAGCGGGGUCACCGUCCGCUCGCGAGGCCGGGGCACAGAGGCGCGCUGAGCCGACCGGCGCGUCCGAGCGGCGCGGCCACAGAUCACCCUCGCGACGCUGCAGCGGCGGGCGCGGGAGGAGGCCGCCACCCCGAGCCCCGCAGCCGGGCUUCCGCGUGCGGGCAGCGCCCCCUGCCCCGUCCGGAGCUCUCCGCCGCAGUGAUGGCGGCGACGGGGGCGGCGCAGCCGAGUCACCUGUGGGGCUUCUCACAACUCCACAGCCCCCUCCCCAAACCCUAGGUCACUCGUCCAGAGGAAGAAAAGAAGCAAUCUCAGCAGAUGCAGGGCCCGGCGCGCCGGUGGUGGAGUUUCCAAAAGCCCUACAGGUGAUGCCACCCCGACGCCCCGCGACGCUGGCCCUGGGUAGUCUCGACCCUCUCCGGCUCCGCAGCUUCCCCCGACCCCGCGGGACGGCCGGGGCUUCGGCGGCGAGACUUGGGAAAGUGUCCCCUGCUCUGCGCACCUCCCUCGCUGCGCGGACCGCGCGCUGGAUGCCAGAGCCACGGAGACCCCUCCAGCCCCACUGAUAUGGGAUGUAGACAGAGGCAUUGGCCAAAGCCUGGAGAGACGCACACCCAGAGUCAGAGGGGAAAGAAGCAGAGUGAAGAACCUUUCUGAGAAGCCUGCUCAUCUGUAUGCUCCGAGAGCAGUGGAAGCCACAGCACAGGAAGCUUCAUUGGGAAGGGCCUUGUGAAUCAGUCCAGGCUCAUGGGCACAACUGUGAGCCUCGCUUAACCCAGGGCCCCCAUCCCAUUCCCUACUGUCCUUGCUUCUGUCCUGCUUGUGCAUGUGUGUCUGGAUGUGUGUGUGGUGUGCAUGCCCACACUGAAGAGGCAGAAGAGAUGAAGGUCCCUCUGCCCAUACCCAUUGGGAACUUAGCCCUGGGACUCUCUGCUCCCUCUCCCCUGAAGCUGCUUUGGAGUCCUCUCCCCCAGAUUGUUGGCAAAGCUGCUGAGCUUCUGAUUCAGUGACAUUUUACAGGAUCACUGUGUUCUCUCUUCAGAGCCAUUUGAGAUAGAACUGGGAACAGGAGGCCCACUGUCUCAGAGGAUUGCAUCAAGAACUGUGCCCCCGAGCAGCUGAAGACUGCAGGGUCUUGGAGCUGCAGGGACAGGAGGGAAGGAGCCAAUACUCCACCAGGCAUCCACUCUUUUCACAUACUAUCUUUUCAUGAAUCUCUGCAGUCGUGAUAGAAAGUACCCCCAAAAUGUCUCCAUCUGAAAGUAGAGGAAACUGAGGCUGAGAGGCAUAAAAGUGACUGGCCUAACACAUCAGUGAAUAAAUGGCCUGAAAGAUCUUUAACACUAGUCUGCUCUAAUUCUGCAUGAUGACUCUUCCUUUAUGUCAUGCAGUCAAGCCUUGCCACCAGCCAGAAUUUCUGAGAUGCAUCACUGGUUUAUAAAGCGGUGUCAAAUGGUAUGAGCAUGGAGGGGAUGACAUGUGUGCAGUGGGUCACAGCACUUCUCUUUCUUCAGACUCGAAGUCCAAGUUUUGUCAGAAAAUUCUCAUGGAAAGACAGACAGAUACCAGGCUGACCUAGCAUCCACUCAUUCUCUCCCUCUCUCUCUCUCUCUCUCUCUCUCUCUCUCUCUCUCUCUCUCUCAGUUUGGAAAAAGGAUUUGUAGGUCAUUUAGUCCAAAUUUCUAAUUCCUGAAUUAAAGUUGCAGUAUCUAAAGUAAAUAGCUUUCUAGCCUGUGCUUGGAGAUUUAUAGACUGUAAGGACUUUUACAAAGGGAGAAAUUAUUACCAGAGAUAAUGAAAUGAGGUGUGACCCUGACAAUGCAUAGGCUCACAGUGUAGGCAUCUGGAACUCUGUAGUGGCCGUGGUCAGCAUGGACAUGGUGCGGUGUUGGUAACAGUAAUGACAGUAGUAGUAGCAGUGAUGAUGGUUGUGCUGGAGGUCAGGGUGGUGAUGGAAAUGACUGUGACAGCAGUAAUGGGGUGGUGUGAGUCUUGAUGGUAGUAGCACCAGAGGUGGUAGAAGUUGGAGUGAUCCUGGAAGGAAAGCCCCAAGCAGAGGGUAAGUUCUUCCUGGGACAUCAACUAGUUGCCCAUACUGCCUGUAUUAAUCAUGCUUCUCUAGAGGAACAGAACCAAUAGAAAAUAUAUGCAUCAUGAUGCAAAGGGGUUAUUAGGUAGCUUACAGGGUCAGAGGUGGAGAAUCCACUGUGGCCAUCUCUGCACGCUGGAGAGCCAGGGCAUCCGGGAGCUGCUCAGCCCAUGAAGAUGGAGGCUGCAGAACAACAGGGAUCAAGGAUGAGGUGCAGUCCAAGCUCAGAGGCCCGGAAAGUCACUGGAGGGUUGCUGGUGCUAAUCUACAUCAGAAGGCUAAGGAAGAAACUGGAGACUUGGAGGCUGAUGUGCAAAGGAUUGGCCCUUCCAGGAAGACUGGGCCUCUUCAGAACUGGGACACUUCUUUAUUCUUUCCCUGCAAGCCUAUUGGUAGGUAGCGCCUACAUAGGAGGUGGGUCUCCCCUACCCAGUUUGCUGGCCUACAUGUCAAUCACCUUCAGAAACAGCCAGACCUGCACUUUACUAAUCUGGUAAGUGCUUCUUAAUUCAUUCAAAUAGACACAGUAUGAUUAAUAGUCACGCUGUCCCAGGGUAGCUCAUCCCUGUGAGGAGAAUGGAUAACUCCAUAGCAUUCUCCUGGCCUGUCCAGGUCAGGGAGCUGCUAGGCUGAAAUCUUGCCUGACACAGCCAAUGUCCUCCAUUCCAAGGUGGCCGGAACCCAGGGCCCUGAGGCCUGGCAGACUUUUCUAAGCUUUUGUAGAAAUGUUUAUGAUGGAAACAUAUUCAGGUCCACAGGCUGGGACAAGCCUACACACACACACACACACACACUCACACACACACACGCACAGAGUUUCUGCAGAAGCUGGUGGAGAGAGGAUGAGUGUGGCUAAGUGUGUGCCACAUGUCCAUCUCCGCCAUUCUGAUCCAGGUGGUUGCGCAAUGCUGGCAGCUUUGUCACUGACUCAGUCACUGAGACACCAGCAGCGAAAGCAACCAGUAUGCUGUUUGCCUCUCUGGAAUGCAAGCAUGCCAAAUGAAGAGUCACACAAUAUGGCCUCCUUGCAGCAAUGGAUGGCCUGCCCCCAGCUGGUGCCAGGUUUGCUUUCUGUUUAGUUCCAGUGCCCUCUCACUUGUCAGGAAUGACAUUUGGGAGACUUGACGGAGGAAACUCCAUUCUGUGAUAGAUAGGAACUGGUGACCCUGUGGCUAUGGGCAACGCUGGCUUAGUGUAGGCAUAGCCCAGAAUGACUCCUGCUAUUUACCAUACAAGAAAUCAAUGUAAAACAAUGACCCUUCCCCACAAGAGCAUAUGUGUUUCAUACUCCAAGCACCCCUCGAUCUGUCACCCCAAAUACGUUCAGCAGUAUUACCCAAAUCAUGGACUCACUAAAGUGCCUGCCUUCAAUAGGGUCCCUUAUUUCCUCCUGUACAGGAGUAAUAAUUUCAAGGGCAAGAAGAGAAAGUGCAUAUGAUGUCCUUCCUCUGUUGGUGCCUGGCCUGGGGAGAUUCUUAGAAAAUGUGUGCUCAAUGAAGGACAUGAUGACCGGGUGAUGUAGAUGUGGAAGCAUUUCUGUUUUUGCAAGGUCACAUUAACUUCUGUGCAGGGAAAGAGUCAGCUCGAAAGCUUUGAUGGCCUCUGGGAACAGAGAGCUCUACCCAGACCACACAUGGAAAGCUUCCAAAGGUGAAGGCCACGAGGACAGUCGCAGUGUCCUUGGCUGCAUAAAUGUGCACGACAACUGCAUGUGUUGGUACCUGGCAGUUCUUCGGAGACUAACUGUAAGGUCUUCUUUUAUAGCCUGGUUGCCUUUAUGAAGACAAGGGUCUGCCAGUGGCAGUGACAACCCUUGGAAUUUCUGGACAGUGAUUCAGAGAUUAGUCAUAUAUAGCACCCAGUCAUUUGUAGGUACAAAGCUUAGGCUCAGUGUGUACUUGCCAACAAUGUCCCUGUCACCCUGCUUGGCACCCAGCCCAUAUAUAACGAGAGGCUCUCAAAUUCCAACCGACUAUGGAAGCAGAGCCAGUGUUAAGGAAAUCGCCAUUUUACUUGUUAAAAUAAUACCCGGAUUCUGUAGCAGAUUCUUUCUAACAGAUUUUAUUCAGGCAUCCACCCAUUGCCAAGUUGGGGCAUUCUGCUGGCAUCUGUUGUGGAUCUAGGUGUGGG
rnacentral:lncRNA from 1 species